rnacentral:lncRNA from 1 species
CCCCCCCCCCCGGUCAUAGCAUGCCGCGUAGCCAUUCGCCGCAUCGCCGGCCGCAGCACCGCCCGCGGUCGUAAACAGCCCAUCGCACCGCCGGAUGCCGGUCCCAGCACCGCCCGCCGUCGUAAACAGCCCAUCGCGCUGCCGGACGCCGGUCACAGCAGAGUCGACUGCUGUUUGCAGCAGCCUCGUUGCAGCAGCUUCGCCGGUGCUCUUCCAUGGUGACGAGGAAAGGCAGGGAACAUGGGAUUGGGAAGGCAACUUCACGACUCGAAGAGAUAGGAACGAAGUCCGUGGAGGAGAGCAGAAGGGGAACGUGGGUGGGACCCACAUGCGCUGGCUUUUCCUUUUAUUCGUCACGAAAGGAAGGCCAGGCGUCGUGUGCGGAAGGAGGCCGAUCACGCAGAUGGAUCGGUCGGUUGAAAACAAUCAUUUUCCUUACUUAAUUUAGUGCAACUUUAGGGAGUAAAGUUUUUUUUUUGAAAAAAGACACUACGUGAUGUAAAAAUUAAAAAAGUUACUCACUCCAUUCACAAAUACAAGAAGUUUAGUUUUGUAGUAAGUCAAAUUUCUUAAAUUUCGAUCAGGUUUACAAAAAUCUACCGACAUUUAGGACUUUAUAUUAGUUAGUUAAGCAAUCAUGAUAUAUAUUUUUGUAAUAUAUUUAUUUGAUAUUUCUAGAUGUUGAUACAAUUUUCUAUAUAUUUGAGUAAAUUUUAAUUUUUUUGACUUGAGACAAAAUUAGAACUUCUUGUAUUGUAUUUAGGAACCUAGGUGGUACUAGUCAUGGAGCACUAAAAUAAAAAUGUCGGUUUGAUUUGUCACUUGUCUUUCUUGUUUCACAAGCUGUUGGUAAAUUUUGAUUUGCCACUUCUGAUAAGGUAGAUAAUCUACAAUGGCAUGGUGCUACUAUAGUGUAGUCAUAAGAAUCUCAACAUAAGGUCAUUUUUUUUCCUAUUCUAUCUCCCUCUUUUAAGUUGCCCCCCCCUCCCUUAAAAAAAUGCAUUUCUUUUUUAGGACACCUCAAAGGGGCAUGGAGUUCAUGCAUUUCAUUAUAUAAGAAAUAGAGGUGUCCAAUUAAUUAGGGGAAAACGGGCAAAAACAAGAUACAAGACGACGAAGCCCCAAACAGUCAACAGAAGGACCGUAACGACAAACAAACACUCCUACACACCAACACACCAUCGGAUGCGACCGAAGAAGAUCCCCGCCACAUUUAAGAACACAUCACUCCUCUACGGAGCAAGUCAGAUCUGGCAUGACUCACCAGAGAGGGGCCAAAGAACUUCGACAGGCUCCAAAAGAGCAGGGAUGAGCUUCGGCAGAGCACCGCACCACCACACCGCACUCCACCGCUCUUAGAAGAGGAGAGAAACCAAAACCGCAAAAAAGGAGCCGGUCUGGGCCGCCCCGACGCAGGUGGAAGUGGGGCGCGCCUCAAGAACCCAACAUUUUACAUCGCAUCUUACCGUCCGACGAACGCUGCCCGCUGCCGUCCCGACAUCCAGAACCCAACUACACCAGGGCAGCAACCGCCUUCACCCCCUUCCGAGAUCGCCGCCUCGACUCCUCUGCUUGCCUGAGACAAAUCUGAGCCCCAAAACAGCAGAUCGACUACCAGACAACCACAGGCACGUCGUGAGACCGUCCUCCCGGCAUCCACCGCUACAGCCACGCCGGCCCGAAGCCUGCGAGCCAAAGCCACACGCACGGGGAAGGAAGAUAGCGACUGUUUUCUAGCGCGUCUAAAAAUAUUGUCUGUAAAUUUACAUAUACGAUGAAACAAAAUAACACUGCUUUUCUUCUACGCGGCAUCCGAAAGUAAUAGACAUAAACACCAAUGCAAAUAUAGUAAACAACUGUGAAUAGCACUGUGCACGAACAUAUUUUUCUUUAAGAAGGCGUACGACCACUGGCUUCUGGCAGGGCGUAUGAACAGUAGAUGAAUUGAUGGCACCCUGUAAACAGUAUUUACACAGACACGUUGCCCGCUGACGCUGCCUACACGAGCCAGAACCCAGAAAGGCGACGGGCCGGCGCGGCCGUGGACCCACCUGUGGUCUAGUCGAAGGGCAUUACAGUAACUUCCCCUCGACAUGACCCUACAGAACUCCGCCGUCGACGACGCAUGCUCAACGCUCUUCCAGUCUUGCGCAAGACCACCAAAGUCCAGACUCUCCCUAAUUUAACGCACACGGCACACCCUCCUCGUGCGGCUUUCCCGUUCCCGGGCGAGAGCGGUUUAUUCACGCCCCCCGAACCCCAGCCCCACCAACCCACGCCAUUGCCCCUCUCCACUCCCAAAACCCUCGUUUCGUUCCUGCUUCUCGCCGCACGCUACCUCAUCCCAGCGGCGAUUCCUCGUCUCCCUGCGCGACGGCCGGGAACGCCCGAUUCCGAUCGUAGACGGGCACGCGUUCGUCGUGAGGUAAUUUCUUUUUUGUUUCCGUUUCUAUUUUUGUUUCCGUUUUGGGUACGACGGACGGACGGACGGACGGGCUGGCGUUUGAGUACGCGGGAAAAUCGCGAGCUUUGUGGGUUUGCGCGAUGGUUUUGGGUCGGGGAGAGUUCGUCUUUUAGGUUUAUGCCAUCGAUUCCGCCGUUUCCGUUCCGCAUGCAGCGGCGAUGCUGCUUGUUGUGUUUGUUUAGAAGAUGAACAGCUAUUUGGUUAUGGAGAUUUAAACAGGGGUGUCAAUGACGUGUCAUUACCAGUUGCAUUUAAGGAGGACGGUUUCGCCCUAUCAAUGUAGGCAAAGUUCAGCGGUUUUCCUUUCUAUUUCACCUCUCCAUUUCAUUAUGGAUUAUUUCCAAUUAAUUCGGGGUUGAAAUUUUUAGCAACCAAGGCCUCUCCCAAUGCAUCUCCCAACCGACACAUCUCCAAUGCAUUGUCUGUUAUGUUAUUGUUGUAUCUAAAGUAGUUGUUAAUAGUUUUCUGAGAGAGAUUGAAUGUCUUUGUGUUGGCUUACGUGAGACACUAGCUAGUACUCCCUCAGACACUAGCUAGUAUAAGAGACGGUCUCUUAAUUUCCCCUCAUUAUUAAUUAAGUGUAAUAUAGACAAAAUGUUGACAUGGACGCUUAGGGCAUCAUCAACAAGCCAUUACUUAGGCUGGUACUAAGAAGAGAGAGAAUGGACAAUAUUAGAUAUACUCCCUCCGUCCAACAAAAGAUGUCUCAACUUUGACUAAAUUUGAAUGCAUCUAUACGCUAAGUCAUGUCUAGAUACAUCUAAAUUUUGACAAACUUAAGACAUCUUUUAUUGGAUGGCGGGAGUAGUAACAACCUCUCCAACAAGUGGUUUCUUAACCUUGUUACUAACACCUCAAAAGUAUAUAUAAUAUAUUGUAGUUGGUCCCACAAAAGCAUGAUAUAAGUAACAACCCCUGCUCUAAUAGUACUUUAGUUGUUACUUACGUCUUGGUAUGCGUGUAGUACUAGUUUCUCUAGGGAGAAACCACUACUUCUUUUCUCCUCUACUUUAUACGGCCACAUCAUCAAAUUUUGACAUGUCAUCAUAUUAGUACCGGCUGACUCACCUUAUUGGAGAUGCCCUUAGGAGAUGGCACUAUGUAGGAGCAUUGGGAGAGGAUUAAGUGUGAUUUCCCUUUGAUGGUGUAUAAAGGCCACAGAUUUCAGGCCAUUCUUCUCAUGGAGCCCCCAGUUCUACUAAUUUGUCCGAAAAAACAACAGUUUUACAGUCAAUAUGUACCAACGAGCCCAAAGCAACUAGUUUAGGCCGUGGCCGUCUAACAGUUUUUCUUACAGUUAGGCCCCACCUCUGUUGGACCCCCACGCGACCCUGAAUCUAUUCCCCUUUCCUCUUCUUCCCAUGACGAGCAUCCCGAGCAGGCACGCGCACCCGCCGUAGACGAGGCAGACGAGCAGGAAGAAGAAGAAGACGGUGUUCUCCUCACCACCACCAACCGGUCUCACUGUCUCCCACUCGACCACAUCCCCCAAAACUCCACAAAAAUCUCCGCUCCAAGUCCCCUCCCUAGGAGGCAGCAACAGAUGUGCCCGCGCCACGCUGCCACUACCAAGCCAAACAUCACCACCACACCUGCACCCCAGUCCGCUCAAACUCCACAAGAAAAAGUCUCCAGUCCCCUUUGUCGCCGACGCCCGCACCGGCCACGCCACCCCCCCCCAUGGCGUCCACCAUCUCGCUCCUCCUCGUCCCCUCACCCGCUCCACUGCACAGCUCCAUCCCUCCUCAAACCCCCAGCGCGCCUGCCCCUCCUCGGCCCCAUCCCCACCGUCGGUGUGGCUGUAACCGCGCUGCGGUCAGUCUCGAGCUCGCCCUCGCUCCGCCUCCUCGCCCCGUCACCGCGCGCCAACAACGACAAUAGUGACGCGGUGGGGGCGCCCGACCGCCUAGUGGUGGCGGUCACCUAGCUCUACCGUUCCUCGAUGGCGCGCACCACGGCCGCUUCCUUGUGGCCCAGUCCCCUUCUUCAACGCUCAGCUCGGCCCGCUCGUGCCUGCUGCACGUCUCUUCCACUCCUCGCCGCUCACGCACUUCCUCUUCCUCACCCUCUACUUGGCCCAGUUAGAUGCCGGCAUAACGGACUAACGGAACGGGUCGGCUCGGGUUAUCCGACGUGUCGUUUUACAGGUGGGGUCAGCUAUAUGAAAAACUGUUAGACGGCCUAAACUCGUUACUUUGGGUUCGUUGGUACAUACUGACUGUAAAAUUGUGUUUUUUCAGACAAAUUAGUAAAAGUGGAGGCUUGGUGAGAAGAAUGCCCCGAAAUGUGUGGUUUUGUGAAAUUUAAUCAAGGUAAUAAGAACAUCUCUAGCAGGUUCCCUAAAACUGGUUCUCCUCCGGCAUGUUCUCUAAACUCCAUUCCCUAUUUCCUUUCAUACAUCACAAUGCAACCUGGGACCCACUCGUUAGUGACACAAAUAUACUUUCCUUAUUUCUCUUCUUCCUCCUCUCACCUUCCUCUCAAAUCCCGGUCUCUUGCUACCACCGCCUACAUCGACCACCACCAAGUCCACUAGUGCUUGCUCGCAGGAGGUUGACGAAUGGCCGAAGUCGUCGAAGGGAGGUUGAGCCGAGCAGUCCAGUAAGGCACGGACAUGAUGGUGCUCCUCGACUUGCCGGCGACGAGAAUCGACGGUAGCGUGGCCUUGAUUUGAUGGCGGCAGAGGAUGGGCCGUCGGCCCCAAAACGGGAUUGAGACCUCUCGGGAGCAGGGGAGGUCUCGGAAGAGAUGGUGGUGGCCGGAGAUCACCGACGGCGGCGAUUUAGCGGUGGCCUAGCGAGGUGAUGGGACCGUAAUAUUCUGGUUCGUGGCAAUUUUUCUACCGCGUCAGCUUUUCAUGUUUUAGGGAAUGGGUACUUGGUUCCCUAGAUUUGGGAUCCAUCAUUUGGGCCUAGAAUUCGAGAACACAACUUGUUUGGUUGGCGCGAAAUUGGCCAUAGGAAUUCAGUGUCAAAUUCCAUGGAAUCACACUAUAACUAACCUCAAUUCCUUUCUAAAAUCCAUGUGGUAGACAAACAUGCUUUUUGAACCCAGAAUUCAAAUUCAACCAAAGGAUGGAUGCCAAACGAGCCAUUAGGGAAUUCACUAAAAACAUUAGGGAUUGGGAAUGGGACAGGGAACAUGCCGGAGAGAGUUUUUUGCAACUUUUAGGGAUUGGUGGCUGUAUUUAGGGAUUGGGAACCAUUAUAAGGAACCUGCUAGAGAUGCUCUAAUGUCCACUCUUAUAAGUCUCCAUUCCAAAAUAUAAGGCGUAUUUCAUUUCCUUCGACCAAACCUGUGACCAACAAUUAGUCAUCAUUAUAUGAUAUAAAUUGGUAAAAUUGUAUUCAUAUUAAAAAAAAUACUUCUGGCUAUGAUUUGUAUCACAUAAGUCAUACUCCCUCCUUUUCACAAAGGUUGGCAUAUUCUGUUUCAUUAAGACAAGGUUUGACCAAUGAUAACGACAUUAAUAUGUACUCCCUCUGAUCCAUAUUAGUUGUCGAAAUAUUACAUGUAUCUAGACGCUUUUUAGGCAUAGAUACAUCCAUAUUUGGGCAAAUUUGAGACAAUUAAUAUGGAUCGGAGGGAGUAAUUUAUAUGAUACGAAACCAUAAUUAUUAGCAAGAACUUUUGAAACGAAUCUAUUGAUAUAAAUUUCAUGUAUAAAAACCGCAUAUUAACUUAGUAUUUCUUGGUCAAAGCCUUGUCUUAACAAAACCAAAUACGUCAACUUUUCUGAAAAGGAGUAUGUUAGUGUAGUACUAUUGGUCAAAUGAAACAUAAUACGCCUUAUAUUUUGAGAAUGAGGGAGUAGUUUGUAUGAGAGUGUGUCAUAAUUUGAUAACAUGUGAAUGAUUAGCAUGUGAUGGUGUAUAAAGGCAAUGGUGCCCAAUCUUAAGUUCUUAACUAAGAGCUAGUUUUUUCUCUCUUCUCUACAUAACAAAUUAUCCUAUGUGGCAGAAUUGAUCACGACACCUUUACUCCCUAAUUGCACUGAAAGUUGAAAAUUCUUUUACCACUCCGCUUCAAUUCCCUCUCAUAUUUGUGUUACCAUUUCAGCUUUUUACGUCAGAUUUAGUCCUAUUCAAGGGAAGUUACUUGAUUUUCCUAGGUGCCUUUAAUUCUUCUUCGCAUCUAAUAGGAAUUGAGCCUUGUUCGGGUGCUUUUGGAUGUUUAUUACUCCCUCCGUCCCAUAUUAAGUGCCUUUCUAUUACAUGUAUCUAGACGCUUUUUAGGUAUAGAUACAUCCAUAUUUGAGCAAAUUUGAGUCAUUUAAUAUGAGACGGAGGGAGUACAUCUAUUAGGAAUUGGCCUAGCAUAGGGCAUGCAGAUUGGUUGGAAACGGAAAAGAGUCUUAUCAUCUCAUGGCCCUUUCCCUGUUUUGAUAUUGAAAAUAAAAACAUCUUAUAUGAUAUGAUAUCUCUAUCAAUAAUGUUUACAUGCCUUCAAAAUUACAUGGUGAUUCAAAUUUAUCUAGAAAAUGUGAGCCUAGUAGAUGAUAUAUGGUACAAUGUAGACAAAUAUCUUCUCAUCUGCUCUAAAAGAUGACCCCUUAGUCAAGAGAAGAGAGAUUUAUGGUUUGGUGAGUGGAUGUACAGUCUCACUACUUGGUAAACUUGUUCUUGGUUUAACCUGUUUUUUGGACCCACCCCUGAAAGGUGAAUGGUUUGACAGGUUUGAAUAGGCGGUUUAUAAGAGCUGACGGUCCCCAAUAAGCAGACAACUUAAAGGUAGUUUUCUUUGAAGAGGGAGUGGGGCAUACAACAUCACUAGUAUAGAUCAAAGCAACAAACGACGAGUGGUCCAUCCUUUAACAAAACAUUGUGCUUGCACUGUCUAGCCACUACUGUUGUUUGCACUUUGUGACGAGUUCACCACCAAGACGUUAUGUUUAAAACUGAAACUGUUUGCUGAUUUAGUUCAAUGGCCAAGCCACCAGUUGAGGGAAUCAUUCAACAAGGUAGCCAUGGGGAGAUCAACAACAGUGAUGGCGGCGUCUCUGGUGUCUGAAAGAAGAGCGCCACACCAUGUUUUGCUUUUUGCCGAGCGUAGUUAGUGAGCACGUAAUGUUUUGGGCUUCUCCCCUAAGAGAAUCCUUGGUAGUGUCAAUUGCUUUGAUCCACACAAUAAUUAGGAUCCUUGCUUCACAUAAGGAGAAAACUAACAAAUAAUUACUAUGCAAAGAAAUCACAGCUGUCUUGCACUCUUGCCUGUUUGGAUUGAUUGAAUGAUAUGUUUUUAUUGAGGCAGAAAGAACUAGAAAUAUAGCAGCUAGAAAUGUAUUGUUAGUUGAAUGAUACUAUUAAAUUAUGUAAGAGUAGAAUACGAAGGAUGGAGUAUGGACGUGCUGCUGAGUGUGAAGAUAUAUGGAGGUCGCCGGGAGAUGCUUCAAACUCCCGUGCGAUGCGAGUUUGGUAGUACGGGGAGGAGCAGGAGGAAGUUUGAGAAACACGCGCGCACCCAGGGGAGCUUUCCUGCCUCUUUCAGGAGGGUGGAGUACGAAAAGCGGCGGUGCGAAAGCGGACUGCAGGCAUGCCUAACGGUGACAAAGAUGAAUAGACACACCGAUAGUGGCAAGGAAGCAGCGUGCCGAGAGGAUAAAUGGAAAGAGAGAAAGAUAGGUGGAGGUUGUUAUUUCGAAGCAUACCAUAGCACAUCUCACCGGAGAGAGAGAGGGAGAGGGAGGGGGGGAGAGAGAGGGAGGGAGGGAGGGAGGGAAAACGAUCAACGAUGUGACUUCCGAGAUAAGGGGAGGAUGUGAUGAUGAGGAGGAUGUGGUUCGAACGGGAGCAAAGAGACAGAUCAGCAACUCAGCAUCGGUGGAGCCGAUAGUAGAGCCAAGGAGCACCAUAAGAUAGAAGGAGAAGGAAAAGAUGCAGUUACAUUGCCGAGCAGAAUGUAGCAAUAGUGGAGCUAGUCAGCUAGGGGACAAGAGAGAGAAAGAGGGGGAGAGAACAGAGCUGAGUGAGGGGGGCGAGACUGGAAAGACGAUGUCUUGUUAUGAUUGUGAUAAAAUAUUUCCUCUCCAUACUUAUGUUUUCCAUAACAACACAUGGGGUACCAACUAGUACGAAUUAAAUUAGAGUGUAUUAGAAGGCAAUACGUACAAUUAAGACAGUAUAAGAAUAGUAGUUAUUGGAUGAUAGCAUAACUGGUCCAUAACCAUAGGGACAGCUAAUUAUGAAAUUCAACUAAGAUUUCGGACGAGUCAGAUCAAAAGUAUCCCAACCAACCCGUGCUUUUCAUAUUGGUAUAGAUAAAUAUUGAUAGUUGCGUGUUACUCCACAAGGGAACGUUUUUUUGGUCCUGUUAAUGGAGGCUGAGAAUGUGCUUUCAUUUGCAAGUAUGGGAGUAGUGGCUCUUCUAUUACUUAAGUUACUUCCUCUAGGCAAUAAAUUGUAGAUGAUGUCAUCCAAAUUUUCCCGGAAUUGUUGGUCCACAAAAGACCAACACAAAUGAAAAUUUAGGGGUACUGCUUCAAAAUAGUAUAUUACCAAGCCUAAGAUGUGGACUUCUGACCGGAUUAAAGAAAUUGGAGUCAUUACAGGUUUCUUCCUCAUUUGGUUCACAUGCAUACCGAAGUAUUCAUGUACUUAUCUUUUCAUGACUAAUGAUACGGCUCUUUGGGUAUUUAGAUGCAUGGCCUUGAAAUGUCUCUUCGUGUUAUUGUUUAGGUCUGCUGUAUAUAUGAGCCAGUUUACUGGUGCUUGGAUACAAAGGGAUCCUUAACCAGUUGCACCAAAAAGAACUAACUUUAACUAAGGUGCUGUUCAUGUAAAGAGCAUAAGUUUCCACCUCGGUUAGACAGUCGCCCUACUAGAUUGAGAUAUUAUGGAUCACAACGAAGCCUGCAACGGUGAAUGUGAUUAUGAGUCUGAACUAGAAGAAGGUGAGAUCAAAGAGGAGGAUGAGCCACCUAGAACAGAAAGGCCUAUCCACAGAGGCAUGGCUGCAAGUGUUGUAGAGCUGAUUUCAUAUGGUCAAGAGGUGUUUGAAAAGGAGCAGGUCCAUAUAACACAAUCGGCUUCACCGCAAAAAGCUUCUCAUAAAAGGGAGACUGCAGGUACUGUGGUUGUGCAACAAUCUAAGUAUAGUGAAAUCCACAAGGAUGUGGUUCAAAGUGUUGUAGAGUUGAGCUCGUUUGUGCAAGAUACAAUUGAAAAAGAGCAAUUCGAUAUUAGGCAAUCAACUUCACUUGAAAGAGGUUCCCGUCAAGGAAGAACCACAGGUAUUAUGUUUGUGCAGCCUAAAUGUAGUGCAAUCCAUGAGGACAUGGCUGCAAGUGCUGAACUGUUGAUCACAUCUUCCCAAGGGACCGUUGAGGGGCUAUCAACUUCACCUGAAAGAGGUUCCCACCUUGGAGGGACUGCAAGUACUAAGUAUAUUGCAUCUGAGAGUCGUGAUGUUAAUGUGAGACAGUCAACUUUCCAUAGUACAUGUGGGAACCACCAGCGGAGUAAUUCACGAUCCAUGAAUAUUAGUUCAGAAGAAAGGCAUGAGAAAAGGAAGCAAAAAUGUUUUAAAUACUCUGAUUCCCGAUGGGUCUUGAAGAUGAUUGAGGAAGUUUGUUCGGGAAGAUUCAGUACACUAUUGUUACGGCAGACUGCAGACCGGAAGAAACUCAAAAUUGCGUUUAAGAAGCAGGAGUUAGAAUUCUUCCAAAAGCAGGUACACUGGUAUAAAUUUCAUUAUGCGCAUGUUAUGCCAACAAUAAGAUAUGGCAGAGUGAAGUUGCCGAAGCUACAUAUCAACAUUUUGCAAGACAGAUUUCAUAAACAUAUGAAAUCUCAGCUGAUCAAAUUUGUGAAACAGCAAAUAAGUGAAAGGAACAAGGAGAAUCAAAUAAAAGAGCGCUGGAUAUUUGAGGCUAAAGCUGGCUACCUUAAGAAAUUGUUCAGUGCGAUUUCCUUGUCAUAUCCUGGAUUCAAAUUGGAGAAAUUAGGUUGGCAGAUGACCGACAGUCCGGAUGGCGAUGAGGAUCUCAAAUGUUUCGAAAUGCAAUCUCUAACUACUCAAAUUGAAGCCAUUGCCUCUAAUAGUGAGCCUGAAGGCACAUCCAGUGAUGUUUCUGAGUUCAUUAUAGAAAACUCACCGUCACUGCUCGAAAAAAAUGGGGCUACAAAUCUUGGGUUUUCAGUUUGUGUAGCGGAAGAAAUGUCCAGCUUAGAUAGCAGGUCUUCAAAGUCCACCAAUGCACCCACAAUGGAGUUUGGUGAGAAAAAUGGGGCACAAAUUAUCUUGGCAGCAGCAGAAAAUGAGGGGGAGAACAUCGAGAGAAGCUACGCUUCCCAACUUGACACAAGCGCGGCACUAGAGCCUGUUAUGGCAGUGAAAGCAGGUAAGGCGAGUGAUGUUUCUGAGCCAUUGCCGCUUGAAACAAAUAGAGUUACAGAGCUUGGGUCUUCAGUUGGUGUAUCCAAAGAAAUGGCUACCUUAGAACAUAGUUCUCAGUUAACCUGUGCUCCAGGAAUGGAUUUUGGUGAAAAAGAUGGGUCACAAAUUGCCUUCUCAGCAGCAGCACAAAACGGGAGUGGAAACAUGGAGAGACCUUGUGCUUCUCGGUCUGUCACGAGUGCAGCACUAGAACUUGCUAUGACAGUGACCACUGAUACAGAAAAUGACCCCCCCAUUUCUAAAGAAAAACGAAGGCGCAUAAGUUCAGGCAAUGGUAUUUCAGAAGAUCCAUGUUGUAGGUCACGUAGAAAGUUUGGGGAGAAGGAUGGGACACAAAUCGCCUUCUCACGAGAACCACAAAAUGAACUGGGAAAUCAGGAGAGACCCUCUGCUUCUCGAUCUGUCCAGAAUGCAGCGUUAGAACUUGCUAUGACAGUGAACACUGAUUUAGAUAAUGCUCCCCCCAUUUCUAAAGAAAAGGGAAAGUGCACCAGUCCAGGCAAUGAUAUUUCAGAAGUCCCAUGUUCUAGGUCCCGAAUAGAGUUCCCACACAUGCCUACCUCAAACCUUUGCAGGACAUCAUUGCGUCAAGAGGUAUUUAGCUUGUAUCUUCUAGUUAUAUUGUAAUUUGGUGUUAAUUUAUAUGACAGAUAGGGUUGUUGGCGGCAUGAAUACUUAUGUUGGAGAUAAGUUAACUGAACACUAGCAAGAGUAACUAAUUAUCGACUUAUCAGUAAGGAUAAACAGUGAGCAAGAAAUUUCUUUUUUUGUUUUGCAUGGAAAUGUCAUCUGCUGAGUGUUAAAUAGUUUAAUUUGUAAGUAAUUCAACCACUAUUGAAUGACUAUAAAACUAGAUUCAGAAGAAUUUAUAAGAUGACAUCUUAAUUUAAUUGUGAAUUUCUUAUCAAAUGGUCUCUUGGUGGUAUACAAAUUAUUAAUAGUCUCACGGUCAUUACUAGUGGCAGCUUAUAGAAUGACGUCCAUGGCAUUAUUUCUCUGCAGGAAUCUCCAGCUGCAAGGGCAGAUCUACCGUCAGUUAAUAUUAAUCAAAUGAUGCAAGCUGAGGAUACAGACUGCGAAGAAGUACUUAGUGGUCAAAUUUCUCAUGUGGCCCAAGUUACUGAGCAGCCAAACAUGCACUCUAAUACCGAAAAUGUAUUGAACCAGUACCAUUGUGGUUCUACUUUCCAGGCUGAUGCUAGUCAUCCAUAUCAACAGUCUGGUGGGAAUACUCAUUCAGCAAGGACUGGUGUAGCCAAUCUAGGGGCAUCACAUGUUCAUCCAGCAUCACCCAAUCAGGUGCCAACAGAUUCCACUACUGGGCAAUAUCUGUCUGGAGAUGGGCUUCCAUCAGAUCCAUUUACCAUUGAGUUGAGUCGAUUACAGUCAUUGCAGAAUCUGAUAGCAAAGAGGCAUCAAGAGAAGGUCGCUUUCUUGAAUUACUCUUCUUCUUUCAUAAUUUCUUGUUUCAAAUAGCAUUUGUAUAUAGAUUGCACCGUGUUUAGGUGUUACUCAUCAAUUUCCGUUUGUGUUUGGCCAGCGAGAACAGCUUAUUUUGGCACGUCAAAUAGAGAUCGCUCAAGCUAAAAAGAAGUAUGACGAGCUGGUGUAUAAUUCAGAGGUGGAAGUAUUAGAGAGAAAGAGAGACCUUAAGAUAAUGUGUGAAAAAAUUUACAAACAGCAGAUAUUGGCUGAGGUAUUCCAGGUUAUAUUUAAGGCCUCUGCUAGAGUUAUUCCAGACAGUCCGAGAGGUAAAUAUUGUUCAUACAUCCUAAAUCAGCUUUGUUGAGCUAGGUUGUCACAGUUGCUUUGUUGACAUUGAUAUGCUAUUCUUUGUUGAUUUGUGUAUCAGUUAGUUGCAGGAUUUGAUUAUUUUUAAAAAUUGUGACAACCUAUAAUAACCUGCAAAUGGUAUAAUUGAUAUCGUGUACCGGUUAUUUUCACGGUUUGACAUAUGUCUUCAUUAACAUAGGUUGUCACAAUUUGACAUUUUCGACUCCUAAGAUUGACAGUUUAAUUAAUAUUUGUAACCCCAUGUCUCUGUAAUGUUUUUUCCAAGACCAACAUUUAUCAGUAAGACAUCGGUGGCAGUGCCAAUCUUGGCAUUGGGGAACAUCCAAACUUAACUUUAUUAUACUGAACAAGUUGGUACCUUGUGUCACUCCUGCAAUUAUUCUAUACAAUUAUUAAGUUUCUGGUGAAGUUUGUAUAUGGCUUGGCCAUUUAUGAUGUGCCAUUUGGCUGUGGCAAGAAAAAUAACAUUUGAUGGGAUUCCAAGCUGGCCUUGCUUAGAAUCAGCAUCAAACCACCAUUGGGUUUGAAGCAUUGAAAUCAAUCUUGUAAUUGAAUAGUUUAUUGGCUCAACCUGAUUGUUAUGUAGUGUAUCAUGUUUCAAUAAAUGAAAGAAAGGAAAUUAAAGGAACUUUGGUUACAAUGUACGGACAACUGCUUAGGUUCAAUUUUUGUUUUGAUAAAAAAUCUUGACGUGAUUAUGUUUUGUCAUUAUGGUUGGUCUGAUAUAUCCCUAGCACAUUGGGUGUAUGUGGAGAGAAUACAACCUUCUUGUAACAUUGACAACAUGCUUAAAAAAUGGCAACAUAUGUAUAUAUACAACAUAUAUUUAGUUACUUGCCUUGCACUUUAUUCUCUGUAGUAUAUCAAUCAUGUCACCCAAAAGUACCUCACAUGCAUCAGUUUUAAGAGUUACAUCUACGGAAAAAAUAUCUUUCCAUAUGUGGCAGCAUGAUAUGGAGGAAAAUAACCAGAAGAAGGCAAUUUACAUGGAUGCAACUUUUUUACUAAAUCUAUUUCGAUAAUCAACAAUUUAGAUCUGCUACUCCCUCUUAGGUGGUAGUUGGAGCGUCCAAAAAGUGCUCAUCAAUGAAUAUUUGGGCAUUUAGCUGAACAAGAAAAUUUUACUUACAAUAACUAGAUUUGUCUGCAUGGCACCAUCUGAUUUGUUUUCAUACGUGCAGUAACAUGUUUACUUAUACAGUCAUGUUGAUGUAUUCCUUCAUGUGUCAAGUGCAGCCCAAAAAAUGGUGGUGGAGCCUAAUUGUCCGUCGGAGCAGCAUAAUUUCCAGUUUCCUGCAUCUGUUUCAGCUCGUGCAUCAACAGCCAUGUGCCUGUCACGGCAAUUGUCUGUGCAACCAUCGAUAGAAGCCUCCCUCAGACAGCACUGUGUGACCACGCAACAUACUACUAUGGACACCUUUGGUAGAUCCACUACUACCUCGAUGCCUAAUCCAAGUGGUGGCAUGGGUAAUGGACUUGCAUACCAUAGACGGGCACCUCUUCUACAUUCAUUUGUAAAUACGCCGCCAGCAUCCGUUCUCCGUCAUGGAUCUGCAAACCUGGAGGAAUAGCCGCAUUGGUUGCCCUUCAAAGAACCUGUGAGGCCUGUAGGCGUACCAUUAGAGUUCACGUGUAGGUAUCAUUCAGAAGUCGAGCUUCCUUUUUAGUCUUGCGGACAUUUUUUUUUCAGUCUUCUCUCUAGCUGGUGGCAGAUUAGCCUGUCAUGUCUGUUGAUGUUAAAAUCUGCGUUUAACAUCUUACCUCUAAACCUGUUUCAUUUAUGAUUGCAGCUUGCUGGUCAGGGGAUUUCUGUUUCACACCGGACUGCCGGACGCAGCAUGCCAUGUGCACAGCAAAAGUCUCAAAUUUUGAUUACUUCUUUCUUGAUUUGCUUUUCUGGUUGUAGGUUUGUAAGGCUGGCAUGUAGAUUACCCACUUGAGUGAUCUUCUAAUACACAAUGAAGCGCGUUUAGAUGCGUGCCUUCAUUGUCUGGAACUAGAAGCUAUGCUAGAUAGCUUAAUGGAACUAGAAGUCACUAGGCAGAUCGUUGUCUGGUGCAAACAUUACCAUCAAAUGUGCUAAUCUGUUAAUGCCUGCCUUCAUCAUGACUGAAUGCUGACGCAGGGUAGGUUGAGAGUCUGAUUCAGCAAUACUUGUCACUUGAGCUGCAACUCUGGGAAACUAACAUUAAAAGCUCUAGGCUCUAGCUCCUUUUCAGUUAUUUGUGCGAAUCAUUUACUAGAUUCGUAGAAGUUAUAAGUUCUUCGUCAAUGUUCUGAUUGCCGGGGAUAUUAGGGUAUUGUUUGUUAUUGUACAAAUAUGAUUUGUUAGGAUUGAUUGUUAUAUACUCUUUCCGUCCCAUAAUUCUUGUCGAAAUAUUACAUGUAUUCAGACGCUUUUUAAGAAUAUAUACAUCUAUUUUUGGACAAAUUUGAGACAAAAAUUAUGGAAUAGACGAAGUCUAUGAUACGAUUCGGUCUUAUCUCUAGGAGAUUAUACUGUACUCCAAGCCAUGUGCUCUGCACAAACCGCCCGCUUCGUAGAAUACAAAGCACAUAAUGCAAGUUCUCAUCUCUGACACAUUCGCUACCGGCCACAUUUUUUAGUCUCCUACAUUGUAGCGUCACACGCGAGGCUAGUACCCUGGUCCCUCGAAGACGUCUUCGUCUUUCAACGAAGCCCUCGAGUUUGUGCUGAUGGUGGCAGGCAUUGGCGACUGGCACCAGUGGGAAGUCGGCCACGCUCGACUCGCACCGCUCGUCGCCCCCACUAGCUGAGCCACAGCCACUCCAGUGGGCAUAGGUUGGUAGCCGCAAGUGAGACUUGACAAAAAAAAUCAUAUAUUAGUACUAGCUUUUCUGAAAGAAAAAAAAUAAACUCUACAUUCUAAAUAUAAGAUGUCCUACGAUCUGUCCUUCCAACCUUUUCAAGUUAUCAAAAGUAUAUCUGAAUACAUAUAUAAUGAAAUAUUUGAUAAAACUAAUUUAGAGUUGUAAACGUUGGUAAAAAAUUUUAUAAACUUGGUCAAACUUAAUAAUAUUGACGUUAAGUUGACUUAGAACAAAGUAGUAGAACGUAAGCAAUCCAUGUGUAGAAACUUAUCCAUGUAAUUUCGUAAAACAUAAUCAUUUGUGAUCUAUGCGAAAACCACACAUGAGUCACAAAUGAAGUUGCUACAAUACAAAUUAUGAACUUGUUAUGUUUUAAAUUUUGCACAACUGUAAACAUCAUUUUAUUAACAAAAUUUACAAGGCUAAGUUUAUUUCUAUCUAGGCAAAAUAUCAUGAGAAAAUCAUCUCUACGGUGCAAAUUCCGUAGGAACCAUGUUUAGAAGUUUCAAAAACAUCAUAAAACAACAUGUGAAGGCGUGAUGCUCUACAAACAAGCAAAAUUUCAAGUCGAAACUCAAAUGCAUUUGUAAGGAAUUAAAAAGAGAAAUAUACAAAUAAAUAGUGGCAAAUGAUGAAAAUUUGUUUUUUCCGUUGCUACUAAACGCAAUUGUGUUUGGACACAGUCAAAUUUCGACCAGCCACUUCAACCGUCGGAAGAAGGACCGGCGACAGCUCAUAGACUAGCAUAACAACAUAGUAUUUGUGUGUUGUUCAAUAUUAAAUAAAUAAGAUACAUGUUUUAAAGAAAAUGUGAUGUCCUAGGUCGAAUAAGGUUGUUAUCUGAUUAAUAGCAGGCACGGGUGAGGGGUUGUCUGGUUUCUGUCUGAAGCCCGUGUGUCUGGCCUGAAGAAAGCCUAUGAGCAGCCUGUAAGUUGUUUGUAUAGCACCCUGAAAAUAUGCCUCGCUCAGGGCACCAAAAACGAACGCUUGAGCGUGCGUGCUGUUUCCAAGUAACCGUGUCUGAGAUUCUACUACUAUCUUCAAGUCAGGCAUAUGCUUUGGAAUAGUUCAAACUGGAAUAGUUCAAACCAAACAACAAUUUUCAUACGUGUCUGGGCAGGCAAAAAAAAAUUAAAUUCUCAGGCAUCUUCCAUGCAUCACAUUUUGUGAAGCACUUAGCUAAGGUCUCUAACCAAACAGCUCCUGAAUACGACGGACCACCGCCACCCCAUGUGUUGCUAUUUGUUACGAACUAAAAAUCAUAUGUCUAACAAAAUGUUGUACUAUUAUUUACUCCUCCCUCCGUCUAACAAAAGAUGUCUCAAAUUUGUCAAAAUUUGAAUGUAUCUAGACAUGACUUAGUGUAUAAAUGCAUUCAAAUUUACUCAAAGUUGAGACAUCCUUUGUUGGACGGAGGAAGUAUUUAGAUUGUAUUGAGUCAAAUUACACUUUCAUCUUUUUUUUUUCCGGGUAAAUCACACUUUCAUCUUAAUGAUUUGUGUCAAAUCAACAUGUGACAAAAGAAUUCAUACGUCAAAUACACGAUGGGAUAUGACAUUAAUUGAGUCUUUUAUAAGAUGAGUUAAAAAAAGUUAGACUAAACUUCCUUCUUUUCAUCUGAUAUUCCAACCUCUGCUGUCCAGACUUCUACCGCGAGUCCGCGACACGUGGUCACCCGUGGAAGAGAGAUUUCCUAUACAAAACUGCACAUCCAUGUCUAGCUGAUUUACCUCUGUAUGUACGUCGUUGGCAUGCAGAUUUUGGUCCGGCAUUGCCUAAGUUAUUCCAGACGAAGCUAUCGCACAACACUUUUCUGGGUGGAAGAGAGCCAGCAUCUUUGAACACAUGUUUUUACUUUUUACUCAUACUGGUGGGGGAACCUUUUCUUCUCGAGAAAACGUAACUACGCUAACUAAUUCUGCGUCUAUUUUCAUAUCACUAGAGGUCUAGAGUCAUUUCCUGGCAAAGCCGCCAAGGUCCCUGAAUUCUGUUGAUCUACCUGCUCAGGCCAUCAGUUUCGCUUUUUUUGCUGUGGCGUUGAGAACAGACAGUGACGCGCAGGCUACUCGAGUGCAAUGGUGCGUCUCAAUCAUCGUUGCUGGACACAUAUACCUUCUUCAAUCGCUAGCCGAAUUUGUCGUCAGUUGUAUCAUUGAACGUGUUCUACAUCUAUCAUCUUCGGCUGCACGCCAACUUGUGAAGUAAGUGGUCUCCAUGCCCCUGCACUUGAUUUCCACCAACCAUCGUCUAGCUACGUAAAUAUAUAGUCGCCUUUUCUUCGACCAAAUAAUCAUUAUACAGUCCGUAAUUUACCUACAGGCUGCAGUCAGAAAACUGAAUUAAUAAAGUUGAAACGACAUUACGAGACUUGAUCGAUUGUUUAACUAGCGUUCAAAUUCAGGGUUGGACCAAAAUAUUUUUGGGUCAGAUUGUGUCAUCGAAAAUUCUAGUAAGAAGGGUGGGUAAAAGAAGAUGGAAUUUUGAAAGGAAUGUAGAAGUUAGAUGGGUAUCAAAGACUUUAUGUAGAAUAUAUCCGUGACCUUAUCUGAAUGUUUGGUGAGAAGAGAGAGCAUGCACGCACGGUUGAACUGAACAAAUUUGUCGUGGGCUACUACUACUACUAGCUUUCUUUUUACAAUGGAUUGGCUACUACCACACCUGACUGACCACUAGUGCAGUAGUUGGAACCAACUUUCAAUACUAGUUAAGCAAUAGCCAUCUGAGCUUUAGGUCAACUAUGAGAUGGAUCUCCAUGUCUCACCAACCUCGCGAGAGGUGCACCUCAUCUGAUCCUGACCGGUGACAAAGAGUAGUUCUUGUAGUUGUGUGGUACUAAAGGUGAAAAUAAGAUCAACAUGCCGUCCUGGUUUUGCUUAGCUAUCUGAAGAAGCAAGGGAGAAACAGUCCCCUGAUUCAGAGAUGGGGGCCAUUUAAGAUUUCCUUGCUUUAUUGGUGAUUUACUGCUCUGAUUAUUAUUUUUCCUCCAUAACCAUAACCGAAGGAAAGAAGUAAUGAACCUGUGACCUGUCCUCUGCUGCUUAAUGUUCUUGGUUAGUGAUACGAUCCGGCUUUGCGGCGAGAUCAAGGAACAUGAUGCUGCUAGCUAACGACCCCGAGAUGGAAACUAAAUGGGGGCACAUGGUACACCUAAUUUAAGCAUACGCAUCAUUGCACCAAUCAGUAAUCAGGAGCACCAAGUGGUCUGUAUAGAUCUCUCAGACAGACGACUAGCAUAAUUUGUUGUUAGAAGUUUUAUAACGUUCAACUACCAGAUAUAAAUAAAAUUAGGAAAGCACUACUGAUUUUACCCUUUGUAACUCAUUUUCAUUGAACCAAACUAAUGUUUCGAUCGCACACAAAUAAUAAUUUCAUGGCACAAGAUUAGUUACGCCGAAACAAUUCGGGAAGUAAUGUUUCAUCUUACAUUUACUAUGUUGCACAUAUAAAGAAACAACAGCCCCACAUUAGUGUGAAGUUUAGGGUCACGGUACGUAGUCGAUCCUAUGCAAGGACCACACUAUCGAUCCCCAGGUUUUCCCACAAAAUUAUCCUUGUAGAAAUCUCCGUGACCUCUGAAUUCAUUUGCAUACUCCUAUCACUUGUCAAAAGAAGACUUUCAUAAUUAAUUAAGGAUAGUCUAGUCUUAAAUCUAAGUCUUGUGUCAAUGUCCAACCUCAACCUCACUCUUUUGCUAAAUUGCACACUUUCCGCAAGGCAAUGAUAAGCUCGAUAAUAUGGACUUUCAAGUCGCUGAGAUUGAUGAAUCCUUCAGCCAACAAAGAAAUAGCAAAACUGAUAAACUUAAGGCCUAUUAUCUUAAGUCAAAUUAAGUAGUAUAUAUUUUGUAUUCAGUUCCACAGACACAAGCACACUGAUGAUGGUAGUGCCAUGCCAUGUUGCCACUUGGCAAUAUUGUUUCUUGUCAAUUUAGCCAUCGGUCAACUACAUAAAACAGUAGAGUCCCGCAUCUUAAUUGGCCGUACAUGAAUAAUGUUUCUUAAUUUCUGUCUGAUUGAAGGGGCAAUUCUUUCUUUAGGGGUUACACUUCAUAAGAAUCCAUGGGUGGAUGCACAUGGCAUACUUAUCUUCGGUCUUACACUUCUUUUUCAGUUGGAAUGAUUGAUAACAAGGAACCUCUAGAUAAUGCUCUUUGUGUACCAUUAGCUGUCUUUAAGUGUAUGACUUCUAUGUAUCCUCCAUUAAUGGCCAUGCCACUAAGCCACUGACACCUCUGUUUCUUGUAGGUCUUGUAAUACUCCCUCUGCUAUAUAUGAUGUACAUUUAAGCCAAGUUAAUCAUUCUACUGCAGAGGGAUCCCCUGACUUAAAGUAAAUGACUUCAUUCUACUUUUACGUUUCCUAAAACAGUUUUAAUCGUACCAUUGUCUUGCGUGAGGGGUUGUGGAGCUGAGAAAAGACAAGAGGAAGUUGAGUGAGUGGUUUAAUUGCAUGGAAAUAUAAAAAGAAAUGCCAAGUGGCACUUUGUUUCCCUAACUCUUUUUUUUGCGGGUAUUUGUUUCCCUAACUUACUGUGUCCUAAAAAAGACUGCAGAUACAAGUAAAAAGAAAUAGAGAGCUAGUAAGUGGUUUUCUUAGAACAACGCUAUAUAAGCAUUAUAUAUAUCUUACUGGUCGAAGUCUUCACUCUUCAGAUAUGUUUGUAAUCAAGUUAUCGAUUAUUAAGUUAUUGAAGUUUAGCUGGAACUGCCUGCCUCAAAACUUGGUCAGAAUAACAGGUCAUACUGUUGGCGAAACCUCAAGCAGGAUGCCGUCGUUAGGUUGUUUUGAGUUUAUCCUCUGAGUCUCUGACUAGUACCUCUUGUUAUUGUCUGCAAGCAAGCUGUGGUUGGUAGAUUCAUAUAGAAACAUUGUGUUGUUUUCAGUGUUUCCUGGGGGCCCUGUACUGGCAUCACGCUUGUUCUCGCUGAAAGAAUAGCGUAAGUUUGAUAACAAGAUGAGAGAAUGCAACAGAAGCUGUGGGCCGAUGUGUUCAGAUAGAAUUGUAAGAUGCCAUAUUAAUUUACCGUCCAUGUGAUCAUAUCUAAAUCCAAAAACAUUGUUUACUCCCAGUCCCAUGUUCGUUGAAUUUCUCGGGAUCCAAGCUCUCGUCUUCCUUCUAUUCAGACACUGACACUAGCCUCAUUUUAUACCAACCCUUUUUUCAGUGCCAUUAAUUUUCUUUUAUUCAUAUCUAAAAAAAUUAUAUUAUGGUGCGGGGUAGCAACCGUGGUAGGUAAACAAAGCAGCAAAGUUGUUGAUAUCCGUUAGGUUGCCACCUCACCUGCUAUAAUUUCCAGACAAAAGUUUUUUUUCCUGAACAAAGCUGUGUCCGGUCUAAUACGCCAGCAGUUAGCGGAUUAGACUGUCAGUACGUCAGUGGGGAAAAAAUCGAAUACAGGUCUGGCGAACUGAAAUAAAUCUCAUCGCCAACAGUUAGCGGAUUGGAACAUCAGCACAUCGCUUGUACGUCACAGAAGUCUCGUAUGCAGGUCAGGUAUUACUUGCUGAUGGAUCAGCCUAACUGAAGUCUGGAUUAAUUUUAGUCCAAACUCAUGGAAAACUGCGACUAUUCAGUUCCAAAUACUGCAGUGACCACACCAAAACAGCGAGUCAAGUUUCUGCCUCUGAUUGGUACCCGAGAGCGAAAUUUCCAAGCGACUAGAAUUAUUUCUCGUCAAGCUGUUGUCGCGUGUGGUAGGUAAGAGUGUCGAGCUCAUGGACAAUUGGCUUCUUCGCAAUCCAUUUUGCCUUUGUGCUUGCCCACUACUAGCAAUCAUCCGUCACUAUAACAACUUGAGCAAGGACUUUUUGAAUGUUUAAGUGUUUAACUGCACUAGUAGGUCAUAGACUAUCAGACAGAACUGUUUCUGCUACAGUUUAAGGAUGAAUCUUUCUAGCCAAGUGGUUGAAGUGACGUUACUACUGUUCACUGAUUUAGAAGCUUCAAUCCUUUAAGCAUGGGUGUGUUAGAAUAAUCUUGUUGUACGAGUUCGUUUAGGACUGGUCCAUCCUGAGUUCGAGUAGUAGCACUAGUACGAGUCUAAUUAGUUUUGCACAUUAAGUCCUAGUCCUACUAGGAUUAGAUGAUUUUGUGUGUAUAUAUAGAUGCGCCAGGGUCAGUUUUUGUAACGUGGGAUUUGAGAUAUUGAGAAGAAAUAAAAAGAGAGGUACGACAGGUGGCUCUAGCCAAAUAAAUUUCCGAUCGUGUGCGUCUUCAUGUGACUGAUCUUUGGGCAAACCCAACAUUUGGUAUCAGAGCGAGGUUCAAGAUUCGAAGAUGCGCUUGCCCCGGGGAGGCGAUGUGCUAGCGCCUCGGGGCGGGCAAUCAGCGGCGGAGCGGUGUCCGCGGAUAAGAGCGGGCAAACGGUGGCAGUACGCGGAGAGGCGUUUAGCGGAUUGGAUCGGGCAAUUUCUGGCUGUGCAGUGGAGCGACGUUCAGCAGAUCAGAUAGGACUAUCGUCCCAGUGGACCGAUCUCCUAGUAACGGGAGAUCAUCUUGAUCGUCGGAAAGUACUCGACAUCGGGUCAAGCUGCAUAUGUACAUCCAGGUCAGCGUCUGUGAGUCGUGGUUGUGUCCAAGUGCUCGUCUGUGUGGGACUCUGUUGCAGCCGAAGUACGUCACGGUCGAAGGGCUGUCCGGUGAGGUGUAUCACUGAGGGCGAAGACGUGCGUGCAGACAAGGUGGCGGGUGUCAUUUGUGUGUCUCGACGAGAAGACGGAAGCUCAAACGUAUAGUGGGGCGGUGUACCAGUGAAGGUGAGUCUCUUCAAUGAGGACAUAUCUCUACGUGGAGUUAUGGGUUUAGCUAGCACGUAUUGCGCUAGAUGUGGACGGUGUAGUCCAUGCGGGAGCUAGCGUGACUGGGAGUCUGGAUCAUACGUUGAGUAUAGUCAACAAGUCGUGAAGCUGCGGAGAGUCAAGUUCAGGGGGAGCACGAGGAGACGGCAAGUCAAGAUUAGGGGAAGAUUGUUAGAAUAAUCCUAUUGUAUGAGUCCGUUUAGGACUGAUCCGUCCUGAGUUCGAGUAGUAGCACUAGUACGAGUCUAAUUAGCUUUGCACAUUAAGUCCUAGUCCUAUUAGAAUUAGGUGAUUUUGGAUGUAUAUAUAGAUGCACCAGGGUCAGGUUUUGUAACGUGGGAUUUGAGAUAUUGAGAAGAAAUAAAAAAAGAGGCAUGACAGGUGGCUAUGGCCAAAUAAAUUCCCGAUCGUGUGCGUCUUCAUGUGACUGAUCUUUGGACAAACCCAACACGGUGAAAAUGAAAGUCAUCUGUGCUGUGGCUAAAAAAAAAGGCUCUCUCCAAUUAUAAGCACUGCGUAUUCAGAGCGAGACAAAUGGUAUAUAUAUAUAUUGUAUUAUAGGAGCAAAACAUUCUAGUAUUACAGGGGACAAUGGAAAAGAAGCAAUAAUCGAGUAGCAUACUUCACCCCAAAAUACAAGGACAAUAUAUCUUAGCAAAAGCUGCCCGGCGGCCAAGGCGCGCGCAUUGCAGGCGAUGGCAGAGCAGCUGUACACAAUGAACAACAAAGGGCAGGCGCCACACCAACAAAAGAAGCGACAGGAUCUGAAAAGAACGACAUACACGAGCUUAACCGUCUUAUUUUCGGACUUGUAAUUUUGUAGCCUCCUCUUCUUCCUCCCUCGACCGAUGGAUACGGGCCAAUGGACGGUCUAGACGACGUUGAUGGGCAGGGGCUCGCCGUUCCACUCCUUGAGGCACUCGAGCAUGGGGUCGAUGAGCUUCCCCUGGCUGAUGCCGAUGAACACCUUGUUGCACUCCUCUCCGGGGGACAGGAGCUUCUCGCCGGUGAGGUACACGCAGCCGAGCUCCUCGCGGACGAAGCGGUACAGCGGGAACGACCUGCUGUCCUUGAUCAGGUUGGGGAUGGGCGCCGUGCCCUUCUCGAACGCCACCCGCGCGGCCUCGAUCUCCCGCGGCAGCGCCGCCCUCAGCUCCUCCUCGAACUUGUUGAUCUUGGAGAACACCGUGGCCUCGCUCUCGCCGGCGUUGUCGACGCCGCUGCUGGUGAGCGCGUGGUCGACGAGCACGGCGCGCAGCUUCUGCAUCAGCGGGUAGUUGGCGCUGCAGGCGUCGUCGGCGUAGCUGAACACGGCCUCGCGGUCGAUGGCGGUCAGGAGGCUCUUCUCGCUGAACCGCGCGCUGGAGAGGUCCCCCGUGGGGUUCAUGGUGAGAACCUUCUUGGACACCUGCGUGACGCAGUUCUUCACGGAGGCCUUGAUAUUCUCCUCCAGGUGGCGGAGGUCCACGGCCUGGCAGAGCGCCACCAUGUAGGUGGAGGACAUGAGCUUGAGGAUGUCCACGGCCUCGGCGGUCUUCCUGGCGGACACGAGGCCCAGGGAGUUCACGUCCUGGUUGUGCUGCUCCGCGCUCUGCACGUGGUUGGUCACCGGGUUGGCCAGGUACUGGAGCUCCGAGCAGUAGGAAGCCAUGGCGAUCUCGGUCCCCUUGAAACCGUAGUCCAGGCUCGGGUUGCGGCUCCCCGCCAGGUUGGAGGUCAGCCCGUUGUUGUAGAACUCGUUGACGAGCUCCGAGAACUGCGCGAACAUGAGCUUGCCGAUGUUGGCGAUGGCGAGGCGGGUGUUGUCCAUGGACACCCCGAUGGGGGUGCCCUGGAAGUUGCCGCCGUGGAGCGCCUUGCCACGGUGGACGUCGAUGACGGGGUUGUCGUUGACCGAGUUGACCUCGCGCUCGAUGGACUUUGUGGCCGACCGGAUGACCUCGAUCUGGGGGCCCAGCCACUGCGGCGACGUGCGGAGCGCGUACCUGUCCUGCUUCGGCUUCAGCUGCGGGUCGAUCUCGUUGACCUUCUUGGCGUGGCUCAUGAAGGAGCUCCCAGCCAGGAUGUGCUCCAUGAUGGCCGCGGCCUCGAUGGAGCCAGGGUGGUGCUUCAGCUUGUGUGUCAAAUGGUCAGUGAACUCCGGCUUGCCGUUCAUCACCUCGCAGAACACGGCUGACAGAACCUCAGAGAGGACAGCGAGGACAUUGCAGUCAAACAGCACGGUGGCCGCGAGCGCAGAGCCCACGGAGGUGCCAUUGACGAUGGCGAGGCCUUCCUUGGGGUUGAGCGUGAAGAAGCCGCCCUCGAUGCCGGCGACCUUGAAGGCCUCGGCGGCGUCCACCUUCCUGCCGUCGGCGGUGGUGGCCUGCGCGUUGGGCCGCCCCGUGAUGAGGCCCGCGAUGUAAGAGAGCGGGACCAGGUCGCCGGAGGCCGUGAUGGUGCCCCGGAGCGGCAGGCAGGGGCUGACGCCCGUGUUGAGGAGCUUGGUGAUGGCCUCCAGGAUCUCGAACCGGAUGCCGGAGUAGCCCUGGAGAAGGGUGUUGAUGCGCACCAGCAUGGCCGCACGGGUCACCUCCGCCGGCAGCGAGUGGCCGUCGGAGCCUGUGCCGAAGAUCCCGGCGUUCAGAUGCCUGUGGAGGCGACAACGACGUCGUGCAUGCGCAUGGUUCGUUAGUGGAUAAACUUCCAACAAUAUCCAAGUUGCAACUAAAGAAACAGAUAACAAAAAUUGACAACGCCGGUACUAGAACUAGCUAUUGGUUCCUGUCCUCUGUUGCAUUUCCCAUCAGGAUUUAGUAACCAGAAUUUACAGAGUUAUUUUGGUUUUGGGUUGGACCACUCGUGCUCCCCACUAACUGCCUCCCUGGCACUGACAUGAUGAAACAUCUAAAAGAGUAAUUUUCUCGAAUGUCAGCAGAACAGAUCUAGAGAUGCAUUGUUUCCGAUCUAAGUGUGCCAGUGCGCGCACCACAACGUCUACUUCAUCACCGUAAUUACAAUCUUUUUCUACUUCCAGCUCACACAUCACACUGAGUUCCCCAUGCAUGCACUCACUGCAUGCCGACUCAUGCGUGUCUCAUUCAUGGCCUUUUCACCGGGCACAGGCAGCCGUGUGCUACGCGUGACUCGUUUUUUUCCGGGAAGCAUGCAAGUAGCAUGUAGAUCGAUGUAGGAGUGCCCGGUGCGGCCGGCUGAGAGGCACGCGACAAAUGCCAGCCGUGAGACUGAGACAAAAUUCUCGCCUCGGCAACGGCACGGUGCAGAUCCGACCAGUACGUACAUCUGACCGGCCGUUCAUUUUCACUACUCCUCCUGCGUCUCCCAUUCUGUGCCGCCUCCUAAUUCGACUUGUCGCCAUCCAGAGCGUGGCACGCAGUUUAAUGCUUACCUGUCAGUCGUCUAUGCGGUGACGUACAGGGCUGCAUGAGGUACAUGCAUCUACGGAUGUGUGACGAUGUAUUUAUUUUGUUACCCUUUUUUUGUCAUGCUUCUUCUUUCCACUGAUGUACUUGCUACAGCACAUGAAUCUCAACGAAGCAUCGGCCAGGCAAAACAUAAGUUAAGCUUUCCUAGUCCGACUGGUAGAUGGACCCACGUACGGAUCGAUGGAGCCAGCAAGUACUACUAACAAACAGUUGAACAGCGUAUAUAUAUGGAUCUGGACGCUAAUAAUCAACGUGAUUAGUUAAGGUACUACUGUAAAACAAACUUUUGCGGGGGGGGUUUGAUGAGUAAAUUGUAUUAUUACCUGAGGAGCUCGACCUGGAGGGCGGGCCCGUCCUUGGUGCGGCGGUGGGAGGUGCCGCCGAAGCCGGUGGUGACGCCGUAGAUGUCGCCGCCGGCGGCGAGGCAGCUGAGGAUCCACUCGCUGCUGGCCUUGACGCGGGGGCGCGCCUCCUCGUCGAGCUCCACGGAGACACCGGCGGCGUCCUUUGCCUGGGCCACGGCGGCCACCUGGCCCACGCGGAGGCUGGCCCCCUCGAUCUUCACCACGGGCUCCCGGAACUGGGCCACCAUCCGCUUCACCUCGUCCAGGUGGCUGCCCGUCAGCUCCGCCGCCGCCGCGCCCCAGUUCAGCGGGUCCUUCUCCGAGAUGGCUCCGUUGCCCGCCAUUAUAUUGAUCGGUCGGUGGCUAAAAUUGAAGGGUUGA